AGAGUUUGAUCCUGGCUCAGGAUGAACGCUGGCGGCGUGCCUAAUACAUGCAAGUCGAACGGGAUUGAUCUGAAGUUUACUUUGGAUGAUGAGAGUGGCGCACGGGUGAGUAACACGUAGCUGACCUGCCCUUCACAGGGGGAUAACCUGUCGAAAGACGGGCUAAUACCGCGUAGGCACUGGGGAGUUAGAGGUCCCGAGUGUAAAGCUUUGGUAAGCGGUGAAGGAGGGGGCUGCGGUCCAUCAGCUAGUUGGCAGGGUAAUGGCCUACCAAGGCGACGACGGAUAGGGGGCCUGAGAGGGUGACCCCCCACACUGGAACUGAGACACGGUCCAGACUCCUACGGGAGGCAGCAGUAAGGAAUAUUGCACAAUGGACGCCAGUCUGAUGCAGCAACGCCGCGUGGAGGAUGACGGCCUUCGGGUUGUAAACUCCUUUUCUGAGGGACGAGCAAGGACGGUACCUCAGGAAUAAGUCUCGGCUAACUACGUGCCAGCAGCCGCGGUAAAACGUAGGAGGCGAGCGUUAUCCGGAUUUACUGGGCGUAAAGCGCAGGCAGGUGGUGGCUUAAGUCAUGCGUGAAAGCUCCCGGCUCAACUGGGAGAGGUCGUGUGAAACUGGGUCACUGGAGGCAGGUAGAGGCAGACGGAAUUCCGGGUGGAGUGGUGAAAUGCGUAGAGAUCCGGAGGAACACCAGUGGCGAAGGCGGUCUGCUGGACCUGACCUGACACUCAGAUGCGAAAGCAUGGGGAGCGAACGGGAUUAGAAACCCCGGUAGUCCAUGCCGUAAACGAUGCACACUAGGCGUUGGGGAUGCACUGCAUCUUCAGUGCCGCAGCAAACGCGAUAAGUGUGCCGCCUGGGGAGUACGGCCGCAAGGCUAAAACUCAAAGGAAUUGACGGGGGCCCGCACAAGCAGCGGAGCGUGUGGUUUAAUUCGAGGCUACGCGAAGAACCUUACCUGGGCUUGACAUACAGGUGGUACCAAACCGAAAGGGGCGGGACCUUCGGGAGCCUGUACAGGUGCUGCAUGGCUGUCGUCAGCUCGUGCCGUGAGGUGUUCGGUUAAGUCCGAAAACGAGCGCAACCCUCGGCGUUAGUUACAAGUGUCUAACGCGACUGCCCGGGGCAACCGGGAGGAAGGUGGGGAUGACGUCAAGUCAGCAUGGCCUUUAUGUCCAGGGCUACACACACGCUACAAUGGCGACUACAAUGGGCAGCGAAGCCGCGAGGUGGAGCGAAUCCUAAAAAGGUCGUCUCAGUUCGGAUUGCAGGCUGCAACUCGCCUGCAUGAAGUUGGAGUUGCUAGUAACCGCGAAUCAGAAUGUCGCGGUGAAUACGUUCCCGGGCCUUGUACACACCGCCCGUCACACCAUGGGAGUGGAUUUCACCAGAAGUAGGUAGCUUAACCGCAAGGGGGGCGCUUACCACGGUGGGGUUCAUGACUGGGGUGAAGUCGUAACAAGGUAACCGUA
rnacentral:rRNA from 1 species